AGGGCGCACGGUGGAUGCCUUGGCACUAGGAGCCGAUGAAGGACGGGACUAACACCGAUAUGCUUUGGGGAGCUGUAAGUAAGCUAUGAUCCAGAGAUUUCCGAAUGGGGGAACCCAAUAUCUUUUAUAGGAUAUUACUUUUCAGUGAAUACAUAGCUGAUUAGAGGUAGACGCAGAGAACUGAAACAUCUUAGUACCUGCAGGAAGAGAAAGAAAAUUCGAUUCCCUGAGUAGCGGCGAGCGAAACGGGAAGAGCCCAAACCAACAAGCUUGCUUGUUGGGGUUGUAGGACUCCAAUAUGGUAGUCUGUUAGUAUAGUUGAAGGAUUUGGAAAAUUCCGCUAAAGAGGGUGAAAGCCCCGUAGACGAAAUGCUAACAACACCUAGGAGGAUCCUGAGUACGGCGGAACACGAGAAAUUCCGUCGGAAUCCGCGGGGACCAUCCCGCAAGGCUAAAUACUCCCUAGUGACCGAUAGUGAACCAGUACCGUGAGGGAAAGGUGAAAAGCACCCCGGAAGGGGAGUGAAAUAGAUCCUGAAACCGUGUGCCUACAACAAGUCAAAGCUCGUUAAUGAGUGAUGGCGUGCCUUUUGUAGAAUGAACCGGCGAGUUACGAUUGCAUGCGAGGUUAAGUCGAAGAGACGGAGCCGCAGCGAAAGCGAGUCUGAAUAGGGCGAAUGAGUAUGUAGUCGUAGACCCGAAACCAUGUGAUCUACCCAUGUCCAGGUUGAAGGUGCGGUAAAACGCACUGGAGGACCGAACCCACGUACGUUGAAAAGUGCGGGGAUGAGGUGUGGGUAGCGGAGAAAUUCCAAACGAACUUGGAGAUAGCUGGUUCUCUCCGAAAUAGCUUUAGGGCUAGCCUCGGAAUUGAGAAUGAUGGAGGUAGAGCACUGUUUGGACUAGGGGCCCAUCUCGGGUUACCGAAUUCAGAUAAACUCCGAAUGCCAUUCAUUUAUAUCCGGGAGUCAGACUGCGAGUGAUAAGAUCCGUAGUCGAAAGGGAAACAGCCCAGACCACCAGCUAAGGUCCCAAAAUAUAUGUUAAGUGGAAAAGGAUGUGGGGUUGCACAGACAACUAGGAUGUUGGCUUAGAAGCAGCCACCAUUUAAAGAGUGCGUAAUAGCUCACUAGUCGAGUGACCCUGCGCCGAAAAUGUACCGGGGCUAAACAUAUUACCGAAGCUGUGGACUACACCAUUAGGUGUAGUGGUAGGAGAGCGUUCUAAGGGCGUUGAAGGUCGAUCGUGAGGACGGCUGGAGCGCUUAGAAGUGAGAAUGCCGGUAUGAGUAGCGAAAGACAGGUGAGAAUCCUGUCCACCGUAUGACUAAGGUUUCCUGGGGAAGGCUCGUCCGCCCAGGGUUAGUCGGGACCUAAGCCGAGGCCGAUAGGCGUAGGCGAUGGACAACAGGUUGAUAUUCCUGUACCAGUUGUUUUUGUUUGAGCAAUGGAGGGACGCAGUAGGCUAAGGAAUGCAUGCGAUUGGAAGUGCAUGUCCAAGCAAUGAGUCUUGAGUAGAGUUAAAUGCUUUACUCUUUAAGGACAAGUUGUGACGGGGAGCGAAAUAAUAGUAGCGAAGUUCCUGAUGUCACACUGCCAAGAAAAGCUUCUAGUGAGAAAACAACUGCCCGUACCGUAAACCGACACAGGUAGUCGAGGAGAGUAUCCUAAGGUGAGCGAGCGAACUCUCGUUAAGGAACUCGGCAAAAUGACCCCGUAACUUCGGGAGAAGGGGUGCUGACUUCGGUCAGCCGCAGUGAAUAGGCCCAAGCGACUGUUUAUCAAAAACACAGGUCUCUGCAAAAUCGUAAGAUGAAGUAUAGGGGCUGACGCCUGCCCGGUGCUGGAAGGUUAAGAGGAUGGGUUAGCUUCGGCGAAGCUCAGAAUUGAAGCCCCAGUAAACGGCGGCCGUAACUAUAACGGUCCUAAGGUAGCGAAAUUCCUUGUCGGGUAAGUUCCGACCCGCACGAAAGGCGUAACGAUUUGGGCACUGUCUCAACGAGAGACUCGGUGAAAUUUUAGUACCUGUGAAGAUGCAGGUUACCCGCGACAGGACGGAAAGACCCCAUGGAGCUUUACUGUAGUUUGAUAUUGAGUGUUUGUACCACAUGUACAGGAUAGGUAGGAGCCGAUGAGACCGGAACGCUAGUUUCGGAGGAGGCGCUGGUGGGAUACUACCCUUGUGUUAUGAACCCUCUAACCCGCACCACUAAUCGUGGUGGGAGACAGUGUCAGAUGGGCAGUUUGACUGGGGCGGUCGCCUCCUAAAAGGUAACGGAGGCGCCCAAAGGUUCCC
rnacentral:rRNA from 1 species